rnacentral:rRNA from 1 species
UACGUAGGGUGCAAGCGUUGUCCGGAAUUAUUGGGCGUAAAGAGCUUGUAGGCGGUUUGUCGCGUCUGCUGUGAAAUCUCAAGGCUCAACCUUGAGCUUGCAGUGGGUACGGGCAGACUAGAGUGCGGUAGGGGAGAUUGGAAUUCCUGGUGUAGCGGUGGAAUGCGCAGAUAUCAGGAGGAACACCAAUGGCGAAGGCAGAUCUCUGGGCCGUAACUGACGCUGAGGAGCGAAAGCAUGGGGAGCGAACAGG